AAAACCUUGCUCUCGGGUUCUCUCCAGGAAACCUUUUGGUAAGAAAUCUAAAGGAUUCUCAUCUGUAGAACCAAGUAACUCAGUGAAUGCUGCUUACCUUGGUUCUACAGACGAGACUCCUUUAGAUUUCUUACCAGAAGGUUUCUUGGAGAGAACCAAAGAGCAAGGCUUUGUUAUCUGCUCAUGGGCACCUCAAGUGUCAAUCCUGAGUCAUAGUUCCAUUGGUGGCUUUUUGAGUCAUUGUGGUUGGAACUCCACACUUGAGAGUGUCUAGAAGGGAGUGCCAUUAAUUAAUAGCGUGGCCACUUUUUGCAGAGCAGAAAAUGAAUGUUGUUUUGUUAACUGAUGGUCUUAAGAUUGCAUUGAGGCCUAAAGUUAAUGAAAAUGGCACAGUAGAAAGGGAGGAGAUUGCUAAAUUGAUAAAGAGUUUGAUGGAAGGUGAAGAAGGUAAGGAGGUUGGGAAGAGAAUGAAGGAUUUAAGGGAUGCUUCUGCUAAUGCACUCAAAGAAGAUGGUUCUUCUAUAAAGGCGCUCUCUGAAGUUGCACUCAAAUGGAAAAAUAAUUUACACGGGAUAUGAAAGGGUUUUAAUUUUGUAAUUCUGUUUUUCCUGCUUUUAGUUCUUGUAAUUGUUUGUCGGUUUUCAUUUGUCAAACUAAAUUGGCUUUCUUUGAAAGUGAAUAAAUAUUUUGUGCGCUUCUGUUUCACUUUUGGGUGUAUUUGUAAUGAAUGAUAUCUUCUCGUGAUUAAUUUAUACAUUCCGACAA